GAUGAACGCUGGCGGCGUGCCUAACACAUGCAAGUCGAACGAGGUAAAUGAGAUGAAGUUUUCGGAUGGAUUCUUAUUUACCGAGUGGCGGACGGGUGAGUAACGCGUGGGUAACCUGCCUCAUACAGGGGGAUAACGAUUGGAAACGAUUGCUAAUACCGCAUAAGCGCACAGUACCACAUGGUACAGUGCGAAAAACUCCGGUGGUAUGAGAUGGACCCGCGUCUGAUUAGCUAGUUGGUGAGGUAACGGCCCGACCAAGGCGACGAUCAGUAGCCGACCUGAGAGGGUGACCGGCACAUUGGGACUGAGACACGGCCCAGACUCCUACGGGAGCAGCAGUGGGGGAUAUUGCACAAAUGGAGGAAACUCUGAUGCAGCGACGCCGCGUGAGUGAAGAAGUAUUUCGGUAUGUAAAGCUCUAAUCAGCAGGGAAG
rnacentral:rRNA from 1 species